rnacentral:rRNA from 1 species
AACGAACGCUGGCGGCAUGCCUAACACAUGCAAGUCGAACGAGACCUUCGGGUCUAGUGGCGCACGGGUGCGUAACGCGUGGGAACCUGCCCUUAGGUUCGGAAUAACUCCCCGAAAGGGGUGCUAAUACCGGAUAAUGUCUUCGGACCAAAGAUUUAUCGCCUUUGGAUGGGCCCGCGUUGGAUUAGCUAGUUGGUAGGGUAAAAGCCUACCAAGGCGACGAUCCAUAGCUGGUCUGAGAGGAUGAUCAGCCACACUGGGACUGAGACACGGCCCAGACUCCUACGGGAGGCAGCAGUGGGGAAUAUUGGACAAUGGGCGAAAGCCUGAUCCAGCAAUGCCGCGUGAGUGAUGAAGGCCUUAGGGUUGUAAAGCUCUUUUACCCGGGAUGAUAAUGACAGUACCGGGAGAAUAAGCUCCGGCUAACUCCGUG